UUUUAUUUUUUCAGAAUGACAGUAAACAGUGACGAAUCAAAAAUAGCUACAGCUCAAGCUUUCUUUCAUCCAUCAAAAAAGCCUGUAGAAAGUAAAUAAAUUUAAAACUGCAAAGUUAGAAGGCUAUCCACAGACUACCGAAGACAAGUUUACUAGGAUUUUCUGUACAGUGUCUGACUACUCCCAGUCAGACAUUUGAGAAAAAACGAACCAUUCAGAAAUAAGACAAUUAGCCUGUAACAUACAAGAAGUAUUUAUUUAUCAGGACACGUUCAAUAAUUUGUUCUGAAGCAGAGGCUACAUUUAAUCUUACUGCAGUUUGAUUAUCUUUGAAGAACUUGAGGGUGCUUGCUGCUGAUGGAAGGGAUAGCAACGGGAAGUUAUGACUCCUGGAAACAAUAACAGCUUCCAGUGAGUAGCAUCAGUUGUUCCUGAUUGAAGGGUGUUUUGCACUUAUGUUCCAGUUAACACCUUAUGGACACUAAAACAUCCUUUCAGCACAUACUGGCAGGAAGCCUAAAUAAUGGCUGGGCCUAAAGCACAGCUCCCAGGGCAUAGCUAACAACAGCUGCAGAAAUUUGCAAAGUAGGGUGCACUGAAGGUGGUCAUGGUGACCAUGCUCAGCAACAGUGGUGAUCUACCAUAAUCUACUGUGACAUCAUUUCCACCAGCCACUAGAACAGUUCCCCUUGUCAUGUUCAAGCCCCUGUGCAAACAGAGCUCUUCUUGGUGAGGAUAUGGCUUUGCAAGUCCCAAGCCUCCUGGACUGUCUGGGGCCUCCCUUUCUGUAUGAAGCCCUGGCAGAGAGAGAUGAACUUCUUGUCUACAGGAGGUAGUGGGACAGUCACGACACCAAGCAAAGAAGCUAUGGAAAGAGGUCAGGAGAUAGAAUAACAUUAGAGAUAAUCAGACAGAAACUGACUGGUUGAACUGUAAGAUCUUGCAGCUUCAAGAACCAGAACCUCCAGCUACACCAGAGGACAUAGCCAGAGCUUGUCCUCUUGCAAAAUGGAAACUCCAACAACAACAAAGAUUGCUGGAAGCUCUGCUCAGGGAAACACCUGAACUGUCUGAGCCUGAGCCAUUCAGCAGCACGAUGCAGAAAUUAAGAGCAGUAACUGUGGAUGACUCCCUGCCUGCAGGGAACAAAGAUUCCCAUCUGCUAUGGACAGGGGAUAAACUGGGACCCCCUACAGACAAAAACCCAAGCCCCACAGUGCAACAAAAUAAGGACAGCUAGAGGCUAUACUCAAAGCAGUAAAUAAUACAAAUUUUCAAAAAAGAAGUCAGAAGCUUGUGACUUCAAGCAACAGAACAAAGAUCCCCCUCUCCACCUGCAAAUCUGCAGUUACUGAGCAGUUACAGUACCUUGGGAACACAAAAAAAAUGGACAUGUUAUAUCAAGGAUGACACCAGAGCCAACUAAGUCUGAAACUACCUGCAUGAAGGAAAGACCAAUGAUAGACAGUUUUCAGGAACUCCCUCCUUUGGAAGGCACCCAUCUAACAACUGUCCAGAUGACUCGCAUUUGCCAAGAGCCCACAUCCUCAGUGUUGUAAAGAGGCUAAGAACGCUCAGCUAGUUAUUACCUCCUAAUGCCAAUCCACACAGGUACCCUUGAUACUACCAGAAGUAAUUCUAAGCAUAACAAGAGUGACAAUGAAGCUUUUCAAGAAAAGGUGUGAGACACGUAUCUCCAGGUAGAAUUAUCAGCAAUCCUCCAAAUGAUCCAAAUCCUCCAAAGUGAGGUGAGGAAGGGAGGAAAGAGUGCAUGCAUUCAGAAGAUCAACGCCUGCCUUCACUGACAGGUGCUGCAGACAAGCUGUUCAAAUCUACAACUGUGGUAAUUUGAGGAUCCAUAAUUUCUGAACAUACACUGAAUUCAUCUAACAGAGGAAAAGUUCUGCAAGCAGACAUGCUAACCUAAGAAGGAAACCAGGUAUGGUAGAGAACAGUUACCAUAGCCUGAAAUUAAGGUAUGGGAGGUAGUGAGGAAACAUCUGGGGAACAGCAUCACAGGGAAGGUGCUUGCAUUUUCCUUGUAAAAACACCAUGACUCAAGGUUCAUCUAAAGUAUCUGUACACUAUGGGUAACACAUGCAGCACAGGAAACAACCAGAGGGAAUUACUAGUCCCCUACACAGUUGCAGAGUUACGAUUUCACUGAAUUAGAGACAUAGUGGGAUAACAACUGACUACAGUGUUAGAACAUAUGAACGCAUGUUCUUCAUGAAGAACAGGCUGGAAAGGCUGCGCAGUAGUAAUACUUUAUGCAGUGGAUGCUCAGAAUUUUACCAUGGGGCCAGGCAAUAGGACAGCUGAGCAUUUCAGGACCACAAAUGGCAAAGUAAUGCAUGUAUGACUUUGGUAGCGACUCAUCACAAACUACCUGAACAAGGAGAACAAGUCAAUGGUGCCGUCUCACAUAAUACUAGGCCUGAGGACUCACAGAUAUACUUUUAACUGGAAGGGAUGUAAGACUGAGCACAAUCCAGGUGGUUUCUAGAGUGCGCUGAAGGCAAUUUACUGAUGUAGGCAAUUACUGAGACAACUUGGGGAGGUGCUCCGGUAGGUUUGUUAUUCAUGAACAAGGAAGAACUGGCCCAGGGUACCGAAGUCAAUAGUAAGUUCAACUGCAAGAACCACGUAAUUGUGGAAUUUAUAUCUUGCAAGAAGUCAGCAGAAGAAAGAACAGUCUAGCCUGUGCCUUCAGGAGAGUAAUUCUUACCUUUUUCAGACUGUACUUGGUAGUAUCCAGUGGGGGGCUGCCUUGGAGAGAAAAGGGGCCUAGGAGAGCUAGUUGUUCUUCAAGGACAGCCAACUCAAAGCAUGCAAAUAGUCCAUUUUAAUAUGCAGAACGUAGAACCAAUGUGGAAGAACCAGCAUGGGUCGACAAGGACCUUCUAGUAAAGCUCCAAUGUAAAAAGAAUUGCAAUGCAAUAAGAAAAAAUACAGGGACAUUCCCCAGUCACAAAAAAUAUUAAAGCUUGGUGUUUUCCUCUAUUUCUUCAUUUAUUCUUGGCGUUCUUUAUUUGCUUUUGUCAACUUCUACCAAAUCAAUGACUUCAUAAAACUACCUAAUAUAAUCCUGGAAAAUCAUUCUUGAGUGGCUAGUUCUUUCUAUCAAGUUAUGAACGCUUUUGUACUCACAUAUCACUUGGUAGUUAACCUCAGUGAGAUUUUCACAUCUUUAUAUUUGAGUUACUGUAAAAUUCCUCUGCAGCUUUUCAUAGUAUCAUCAGCAAACUGUCACCUCAGUACUGACCCUUCAUUUUCAAUAAAUUAUGAAUCUGUUCCUCAAGGCAGUCUCCAGAACAGAUCUCUGUGGAUUUACUUUCUGUUCUUCAACAGAUUAUUUCCUCCAUGAGCACUUUCCAUCCUAUCCCAAAAACAUUCAGUUCCUGUACAUUCUUGGUAAGAAAUCAUUGUUUGGAUAUCAGAAAUAGACUAUAUACUUCAAUCAGAUCUUCCUUGCCAUGUACUUCUUUACACACAAAAAAAAGAGCCCCAAGGUUUUUGAAGGUGUGACCUUCCAUUAUAGAAUAUAAUAAAUAAUAAACCUUAUAAAUAAUAUAAUAAAAUAUAGUUAUCACCAUAACUAUUAUAUAUAAUAAUUCUACUUGAAGAACAAAUGCUACUUGUCUUUCCAUUUAAGGAACACCAUUCUUUACGUUAUUGCUUAGCCAUGCUAGUUUUCUUCCACAUCCUGUCAAAGCUUUACUAUUAAUUGCACAUACAUUCAAGAUGGUAUUCUUCAACAAUUUCUAUGCCAUCUUCAUAGAUAUCAUUUUAACAGACGCCUUCUGAAAGUUAGCACUUAUAUUAUAAGUCAUUUACUCUAUCCACCAGGUUUCUCAUACAAUAUUGUUUCUGGUCCUGCCAGCCUCUCUGAUAUUUGUUAAUGAAAUAUAUAGAUUGAUAAAAGGACUGCUGAAUUUUGGUAUUAAAACCCUGUUAUAUUUAGCACACAAUGGGACCCCAGAAGAUUCCCUCAAUAUAUUUCAUGUAGAAUUUGUUUGGAAAAAAUUGAGCUCCCUUCUUGGCAACUUAAUGGGCAAGCUUUAAGAAGCUUAGCAUGAAGAAAUUAACACAUGACCACUAGUUAACAAUAGAGUACAUUUCAGUGGCCAACAUUCUUUUUAGGAACAUUUACAUUCAUGCAACUAUAGAAAUCUCGAACUGUUAUAGUCAGUAGAAGAAGACAAUUACUAGUUAAGAAAUUAUUCUGUCCAAAGCAAAGAAAAAUAUUGCUGGAUACAAUCAUUUUAGGCUUCUGCAAAUAGUAGUCCAAUAUUCAAUAUUCACUUAUAGCCUUUUGCUUCAGAGCUGAGAUUUCUCUGUCAUCAAUGUGCUUCUUUCUGAUUAAGAUGGGAAAAAAAAAAGCCACCUAGUUAUCCUAAGUUCAUUCAUAUCCAAUAAGAGAAGUCUUAAACUGUGAUAAGAACAACAAUCACUAAUUUAUUUGUAAUAUAUAUUUUAGAGGAGGUACUCAUAAUGUGCUACAACUUCUACACAAGUACACACAGUAUUAUUCUCCCUUCACCAUAUCCCACCCCCAGAUAUCUUCUGGAAGAUCUUACUUAAACAGUGCUAUCACUUCUAAAAUUCCAGAGGAACAUGGAUUUUAAUACCCAAAUAAAAUUCUCUAAAGAGGGUAUGGAAUCCAUUA